rnacentral:rRNA from 1 species
GUUGACCUCGGAUCAGGUAGGAAUACCCGCUGAACUUAAGCAUAUCAAUAAGCGGAGGAAAAGAAACCAACAGGGAUUGCCCUAGUAACGGCGAGUGAAGCGGCAACAGCUCAAAUUUGAAAUCUGGCCUUCGGGUCCGAGUUGUAAUUUGUAGAGGAUGAUUUUGGCGCGGUGCCUUCCGAGUUCCCUGGAACGGGACGCCUUAGAGGGUGAGAGCCCCGUACGGUUGGACGCUAAGCCUCUGUAAAUCUCCUUCGACGAGUCGAGUAGUUUGGGAAUGCUGCUCUAAAUGGGAGGUAAAUUUCUUCUAAAGCUAAAUACCGGCCAGAGACCGAUAGCGCACAAGUAGAGUGAUCGAAAGAUGAAAAGCACUUUGAAAAGAGGGUUAAAUAGCACGUGAAAUUGUUGAAAGGGAAGCGUUUACGACCAGACCUUUUCCUAGCGGAUCAUCCGGUGUUCUCACCGGUGCACUUCGCUAGGCUUAGGCCAGCAUCGGUUUCUAUAGGGGGAUAAAAGCUUAGGGAAUGUGGCUCCUUCGGGAGUGUUAUAGCCCUCUGCAUAAUACCCUUACGGGGACCGAGGACCGCGCUUUGCAAGGAUGCUGGCAUAAUG